ensembl:miRNA xtr-mir-33b xtr-mir-33b
CCCUGGUGCAUUGUUGUUGCAUUGCAUGUCACCUUGGACGUUGUGCAAUGUUUCUUCAGUGCAGUAUGG